CCUACGGGAGGCAGCAGUGGGGAAUAUUGCACAAUGGGGGAAACCCUGAUGCAGCGACGCCGCGUGAGUGAAGAAGUAAUUCGUUAUGUAAAGCUCUAUCAGCAGGGAAGAAAAUGACGGUACCUGAGUAAGAAGACCCGGCUAACUACGUGCCAGCAGCCGCGGUAAUACGUAGGGGGCAAGCGUGAUCCGGAUUGACUGGGUGUAAAGGGAGCGUAGACGGCAGUGCAAGUCUGGAGUGAAAGGCGGGGGCUCAACCCCCGGACUGCUCUGGAAACUGUACGGCUUGAGUGCAGGAGAGGUAAGUGGAAUUCCUAGGGUAGCGGUGAAAUGCGUAGAUAUUAGGAGGAACACCGGUGGCGAAGGCGGCUUACUGGACUGUAACUGACGUUGAGGCUCGAAAGCGUGGGGAGCAAACAGGAUUAGAUACCCUAGUAGUC
rnacentral:rRNA from 1 species